rnacentral:lncRNA from 1 species
GCAACUCUCACUGGGACUUGACUCCACAGUCAUUUAGAACCACCCAGGGCUCAGAUGUACUGGUAAAGUUUGAAAAAAUUCUACUCUAAAUUUUCUGUUGACCUCUGACCCAAGUACUAAAAUAAAGUGAAUUUGAUUUAGUCACGUUAUAUAUAGAAUAAAACAGUUGCUAAGCUCUGUGUCAUUGCACAAAUAGGAUACCUCCUUAAAGAGAUGGAAAUUUGUCCAAGCCAUGCAACUAGUUUAAAAAAUUAGAGAUCUCAGCCCUGGUGUCCUGCUUGUUGAUCUUGGGAGUUUGUGACACCACGAUGCAAAUGUGCCUACACGCGUGUGGGAGUAAACCCUGCCAUGUGUCUGUUGUUGGAAGUGGGGUGAGGAGUCUGGAGUACUAGUAAAAGGAAGGGCCAAGCACCCAGGAGUCACAACAGUUAUAAAAGCUCUGCAACAGUAAAAAGGCUGGACAUGCACAAGAGAGAUUAUUUAAAAUACUUUGAACUCUUAACAUAAGUGGUAAGUGAAAAUCUUUCCAGGAAGGCCUUCUGAGUGCUCCACAUAAACUGGUUUUUAGCACAUUUUUUUGGCAAUAUUGACACAUAUUUUAAUAUAAUAGAAUUACCAUAUACAGACAGCUCUGCUGUUGCUCACUUAAGUCCCCAGAAUGAAAAGCAGCAGGUAACAGGUCGCCAAGGCCACCUUACCCCCGCCUUUCCUUUGUAAGAUAACCAAAUGCAAGACAUUUUUUUUUUUAACACUUGGCACCAAAAGGAGUAAGAAGGCUGCCUACACUUCUGAGUUGAGACUAAGUGGGGCCACAGAAUUUCAGUAAAUGGAGCCUGUGCUGCUUCUCUUUAGAUGUUCAUUUUUCUAAAUCAAGCAAAACAUGUUAAUAACUUCUAGAAUAUCAGCAUAAUGCAGCCUGUAUUGUAAAACCAUAUCCUUAAACCAUGUCCAGAUGUUUUUUCCCAGUCUAUUAGAAAAUGGGCUAAAUAUCCACAUUACAAGCGGUACAAUUUGCUCCUCUGGUAGCUAGAGAACACACACCAUCAGAUGUAGACAAAAUCGUAGAUCACACUAUCUCAAUCAAUUCCAGUGUUUCCAACUCUGAGACCACUAAAAUAUCUCCACCAUCUCUAUAGCAUGUUGCCCUCAAGAUUCACUGCAUUUAUUAUUAAAAAAUAGCUCAUGGGUUUAUGGGCUUCCCAGGUGACUCAGUGGUAAAGAAUCUGUCUGCCAAGCAGGAGAUGCAGGUUCGAUCCCUGGAUCAGGAAGAUCCCUGGAGAAGGAAAUGGCUACCCAUUCCAGUAUCUUGCCUGGGAAAGCCCAUGGGCAGAGGAGCCUGAGGAGCCUGGCGAGCUGCAGUCCAUGGGGUUGCAAAAGAGUUAGACACAACUUAGCAACAAGCAGCACACACAUGAUUUAUGAAAUUUAGAAUACAGCAGAAUCAAAACGAAUGACUUCAAUUAACUUUUAAACCAGUACCCUCCUAGUGAGAUAUGUUCCAAGAAUAGGAGCAACCACAAAUUUUGCACUUAGGUUGAUUGUUGGUAGUGAUUUUGGUGUUGUAAUUCUGAAAUUAUUUUACAUGUCAUGUAGAAUCAAGCAAAUAAAUAUUAGUGUUGUUCAGAACCAAAAUUCUCACUAUGGGAGAAGGAAAAUACAAAUAUGAAACAGGGAAGGGUGAGGAAGACUAGUGUUAAAUUUGAAAUCAAAGUAUCAGAAUGAAUUCAUGAUUUAUUUUUUAAUUAAUUUUUUAAUUGGAGGAUAAUUACUUUACAAUAUUGUGAUGGGUUUUGCCAUACAUCAACAUGAAUUUAUAAAAAAUGCAGUUCCUGGCUCUGUUCCCUGAAAGGGCCAAGGAGCAAUUAACACCCCAGCAGUACCCAGACCUUGAUUUCCAAAUGCCAUUCCUCAUGAAGAGAAACCAGGGCUCCUUGGAGAAGCAGCCAGUUCCCAGUCUGGGGCAGGAAAAGUAUAAGACAAACUGAGAACAUAUGGCGAAAAGCAAGGACAUGCCCAAAGACUGAUAGGCAUAGAGCAAAAUGACCCACAAAUAAGCUUAAAGGUGCUUCCACUGGCCAAACAUGGAA